CCAAAGGCUCUUUUCAGAGCCAUCCACGUGCGCGCUAAAAAGAUCU
rfam:Callithrix jacchus chromosome 4, whole genome shotgun sequence